CCUACGGGUGGCAGCAGUGAGGAAUAUUGGUCAAUGGUCGGGAGACUGAACCAGCCAAGCCGCGUGAGGGAUGAAGGUACAGAGUAUCGUAAACCUCUUUUGUCAGGGAACAAAGGCGGGGACGUGUCCCCGGAUGAGUGUACCUGAAGAAAAAGCAUCGGCUAACUCCGUGCCAGCAGCCGCGGUAAUACGGAGGAUGCGAGCGUUAUCCGGAUUUAUUGGGUUUAAAGGGUGCGUAGGCGGAAGGUUAAGUCAGCGGUCAAAUGUCGGUGCUCAACACCGGCCUGCCGUUGAAACUGGUCUUCUUGAGUGAGCGAGAAGUAUGCGGAAUGCGUGGUGUAGCGGUGAAAUGCAUAGAUAUCACGCAGAACUCCGAUUGCGAAGGCAGCAUACCGGCGCUCAACUGACGCUGAGGCACGAAAGCGUGGGGAUCGAACAGGAUUAGAUACCCUAGUAGUC
rnacentral:rRNA from 1 species